rnacentral:rRNA from 1 species
UACGGAGGGGGCUAGCGUUGUUCGGAAUUACUGGGCGUAAAGCGCACAUAGGCGGAUAUUUAAGUCAGGGGUGAAAUCCCGGGGCUCAACCCCGGAACUGCCUUUGAUACUGGGUAUCUGGAGGUCGAGAGAGGCGAGUGGAAUUCCGAGUGUAGAGGUGAAAUUCGUAGAUAUUCGGAGGAACACCAGUGGCGAAGGCGGCUCGCUGGCUCGAUACUGACGCUGAGGUGCGAAAGCGUGGGGAGCAAACAGG